AUUGAACGCUGGCGGCAGGCCUAACACAUGCAAGUCGAGCGGAUGAAGGGAGCUUGCUCCUGGAUUCAGCGGCGGACGGGUGAGUAAUGCCUAGGAAUCUGCCUGGUAGUGGGGGAUAACGUCCGGAAACGGGCGCUAUUACCGAAUACGUCCUGAGGGAGAAAGUGGGGGAUCUUCGGAUCUCACGCUAUCAGAUGAGCCUAGGUCGGAUUAGCUAGUUGGUGGGGUAAAGGCCUACCAAGGCGACGAUCCGUAACUGGUCUGAGAGGAUGAUCAGUCACACUGGAACUGAGACACGGUCCAGACUCCUACGGGAGGCAGCAGUGGGGAAUAUUGGACAAUGGGCGAAAGCCUGAUCCAGCCAUGCCGCGUGUGUGAAGAAGGUCUUCGGAUUGUAAAGCACUUUAAGUUGGGAGGAAGGGCAGUAAGUUAAUACCUUGCUGUUUUGACGUUACCAACAGAAUAAGCACCGGCUAACUUCGUG
rnacentral:rRNA from 1 species